UUUCUAAGCUCCCCCCGCCCUCUCGCCGCGGUGCCCUGAGCGCCCUCAGAGCGGCUCCCACAGCAGCGGCGCCGCCUGUGCCGCCCCCCCCCCCCCCCUUCCGUGUGUGUGCCAGCGCACCUGGGUCCUCCCCCUCAUUCCCUCCCUCCCUCCCUCCCUCCCUCCCUGGGAGCCGCUCUCCCUGCGCCCCACAGAUAAGGCGCUGGGCUCACCCCACCCCACGGGGCGCUGGGUUGUGCUGGAUAAGCAGGGCCCCGCCACGUUGAGGGGAAGUUUGCCCCGUUUCUCCCCCACCCCUCGCCCCCGGGUGUUUGACUUCGCACAGGACCCCCAGCGCACCCUCCCUUAACCCCGCGGGGAGCUGCGAUCACCCCUCACCCCCCCAUCCAUCCCCCUGUCCCGGUUACACUCGUGUCCUCCUAUUAACCCUGUGCAGAGAGGACAAAAGCUAAACUAUGAUCCUGGCUCUGCCUCCCCCCCCACCCCCCCCCAUCCCGCUCCCGGCUCCAUGAGCUUCACAUCCUCCUGCUAAGGCUGAAAGGAACAAGAACAAGAGCUGCUGAUGGUUCCCAGUCCUGCAUGCUGAAGGAAGUGUGUGCUUCAGCACUGAUUAAAGUCAUGUAUGAGUUAAUGAGAAGCUUGCAGAGUAUGUGAAGCAAGAGAAAAUCUUUAACCAGCUCUGCUGUUCCUUCUACAUACCACAAACUUGCACGCUGUAACCAGAAGGUGGAUUGAAUAUGUGUGAAAUGCUGCAGUAGGAGACUCUUAAAUCGCAUCACAGGUUAAUAGAUUGAUAGCACAGAAGAGCCUCUGAGGUGCUGGAGGUACCAGCGGUGGUGUCAACAUUCCAGUUGUGGGACUUCUAAUUUAAGAAACGUAUUGUCAUAAGGAAUAAGAUCAAGGCUGAAUCCUGCUUGCAUUUAGGUCCAAAUGCAAAAUAUGCUUUGGAAGGAGUCCCCAGGGAACACUGAGAGUAAUUAAGUAAAAAUAAAACCUUUCACUUCAGCCCCCCCCCUCCCCCUUUUACCCCAAAAAGGUCAUGGCGAUGCUGUUUUCAUUCCACCAUUUUCAUUAUGUGUCCUGAUAUUUCUUAAUUUUGUAUUGCAUCUGAAAUCCUCGAGUGACUUAUAAUUUCUGUGAUUUGGGGGUAUUUCUAGACCAUACUUUUAAAGAAGUCAUCUCACUGUGUCCCAGAAGGAGCCAUUGAACAGUCAUUCUCAUAAACAGCACUGAACUUCUUACAGCCUCGCUUUUCCAAACACCUUUUUUUCCCCCCUGUAAUUUUAAUCCUUAACUAUUGAAUUCCCUUUUCUUUACAUUAAGUAAAUAUUUAUUAAUACCAGUUGAGGGGUUUUUUUCAUCUUUUUAAAAGAACAGAGCCUUGUCACCAAGAUGAUCCUUUUGUAUUGAGGAGAUGACAUAAAAAAGGAGUGAAGGAGAGUUGUCUUGUGCUGGAAAAUGCCAUUUUUGGAAAACAAUACUAUAGGAAAUGGAAAUGAAAAAUACAUUUUAUGCUGGUGGGAACUUGUAAUGAGGCUAAGAGAGGAUUUGAUGUCCCAGAAAAGCAAUGAUUACAAGGGGAAAAGCGGGACUUUAUCAUCCAUUUGUAAAAGUUCUCGGGCUGAAUAUCCUUUUGGGGAGCUGAAAUUUGGCUCAAGUCUGCUUAUGAACAUCUGUUGAAUGGAAUUUUAAAAAGGCACAGAUUAUAAUCUUGGUUUCUGUUGCCUGUUUAAGAUGAUAAAAUAAAGCAAAAUAAAUGUUUC